rnacentral:rRNA from 1 species
UACGUAGGGUCCAAGCGUUAUCCGGAAUCACUGGGCGUAAAGCGUGCGUAGGCGGUCUGUUAAGUGAGAUGUGAAAUCGUGUGGCUCAACCAUAUCGUUGUGUCUCAUACUGGCAGACUAGAGGAUAGCAGAGGCAAGUGGAAUUACGAGUGUAGCAGUGAAAUGCGUAGAGAUUCGUAGGAACGCCAAUGGCGAAGGCAGCUUGCUGGGCUAUAUCUGACGCUCAGGCACGAAAGCGUGGGGAGCGAACAGG